rnacentral:rRNA from 1 species
UUGAACGCUGGCGGCAUGCUUUACACAUGCAAGUCGAACGGUAACAGGUCUUCGGAUGCUGACGAGUGGCGAACGGGUGAGUAAUGCAUCGGAACGUGCCCAGUCGUGGGGGAUAACGCAGCGAAAGCUGUGCUAAUACCGCAUACGAUCUAUGGAUGAAAGCGGGGGAUCGCAAGACCUCGCGCGAUUGGAGCGGCCGAUGUCAGAUUAGCUAGUUGGUGGGGUAAAGGCCCACCAAGGCGACGAUCUGUAGCUGGUCUGAGAGGACGACCAGCCACACUGGGACUGAGACACGGCCCAGACUCCUACGGGAGGCAGCAGUGGGGAAUUUUGGACAAUGGGCGCAAGCCUGAUCCAGCCAUGCCGCGUGAGUGAAGAAGGCCUUCGGGUUGUAAAGCUCUUUCGGCCGGGAAGAAAUCGUGGUCUCUAACAUAGGCCAUGGAUGACGGUACCGGACUAAGAAGCACCGGCUAACUACGU